UUAAAUUGAAGAGUUUGAUCAUGGCUCAGAUUGAACGCUGGCGGCAGGCCUAACACAUGCAAGUCGAACGGUAACAGGAAGCAGCUUGCUGCUUCGCUGACGAGUGGCGGACGGGUGAGUAAUGUCUGGGAAGCUGCCUGAUGGAGGGGGAUAACUACUGGAAACGGUAGCUAAUACCGCAUAACGUCGCAAGACCAAAGAGGGGGACCUUCGGGCCUCUUGCCAUCGGAUGUGCCCAGAUGGGAUUAGCUUGUUGGUGGGGUAACGGCUCACCAAGGCGACGAUCCCUAGCUGGUCUGAGAGGAUGACCAGCCACACUGGAACUGAGACACGGUCCAGACUCCUACGGGAGGCAGCAGUGGGGAAUAUUGCACAAUGGGCGCAAGCCUGAUGCAGCCAUGCCGCGUGUAUGAAGAAGGCCUUCGGGUUGUAAAGUACUUUCAGCGGGGAGGAAGGGAGUAAAGUUAAUACCUUUGCUCAUUGACGUUACCCGCAGAAGAAGCACCGGCUAACUCCGUGCCAGCAGCCGCGGUAAUACGGAGGGUGCAAGCGUUAAUCGGAAUUACUGGGCGUAAAGCGCACGCAGGCGGUUUGUUAAGUCAGAUGUGAAAUCCCCGGGCUCAACCUGGGAACUGCAUCUGAUACUGGCAAGCUUGAGUCUCGUAGAGGGGGGUAGAAUUCCAGGUGUAGCGGUGAAAUGCGUAGAGAUCUGGAGGAAUACCGGUGGCGAAGGCGGCCCCCUGGACGAAGACUGACGCUCAGGUGCGAAAGCGUGGGGAGCAAACAGGAUUAGAUACCCUGGUAGUCCACGCCGUAAACGAUGUCGACUUGGAGGUUGUGCCCUUGAGGCGUGGCUUCCGGAGCUAACGCGUUAAGUCGACCGCCUGGGGAGUACGGCCGCAAGGUUAAAACUCAAAUGAAUUGACGGGGGCCCGCACAAGCGGUGGAGCAUGUGGUUUAAUUCGAUGCAACGCGAAGAACCUUACCUGGUCUUGACAUCCACGGAAGUUUUCAGAGAUGAGAAUGUGCCUUCGGGAACCGUGAGACAGGUGCUGCAUGGCUGUCGUCAGCUCGUGUUGUGAAAUGUUGGGUUAAGUCCCGCAACGAGCGCAACCCUUAUCCUUUGUUGCCAGCGGUCCGGCCGGGAACUCAAAGGAGACUGCCAGUGAUAAACUGGAGGAAGGUGGGGAUGACGUCAAGUCAUCAUGGCCCUUACGACCAGGGCUACACACGUGCUACAAUGGCGCAUACAAAGAGAAGCGACCUCGCGAGAGCAAGCGGACCUCAUAAAGUGCGUCGUAGUCCGGAUUGGAGUCUGCAACUCGACUCCAUGAAGUCGGAAUCGCUAGUAAUCGUGGAUCAGAAUGCCACGGUGAAUACGUUCCCGGGCCUUGUACACACCGCCCGUCACACCAUGGGAGUGGGUUGCAAAAGAAGUAGGUAGCUUAACCUUCGGGAGGGCGCUUACCACUUUGUGAUUCAUGACUGGGGUGAAGUCGUAACAAGGUAACCGUAGGGGAACCUGCGGUUGGAUCACCUCCUUACCUUAAAGAAGC
rnacentral:rRNA from 1 species